rnacentral:rRNA from 1 species
UACGUAGGGGGCAAGCGUUGUUCGGAAUUACUGGGCGUAAAGCGCGUGAAGGCGGUUUGGUAAGUCAGAUGUGAAAGCCCCGGGCUCAACUUGGGAACUGCAUUUGAUACUGCCAAACUAGAGUACAGAAGAGGUGACUGGAAUUCCCAGUGUAGCGGUGAAAUGCGUAGAUAUUGGGAGGAACACCAGUGGCGAAGGCGGCUCACUGGACCGGUUCUGACGCUGAGGCGCGAAAGCGUGGGGAGCAAACGGG